CUUUUGCAUGUGCCUAUUUUUAAUGUGUCAUUGGACUUUUUUAGUGUGACCACGAAUUUUAAUACAAGAAUUGAUCAAGCCCUAGAUCGACUGCGCGCAGGGAAACUGAUCAAUAUUAUCACAGGCCAUACAUAGCACUGAUUCCCAGCUGCGCUGAGACCCGAAUUGUUUGCAGUGUGUGCCACGAUUGCAGUGUCGCUAAGCGGGGUGUGACGGGUUGCAGUGUUAUUUCGCACAGUUUGUGUGGUAAGUCUCGUGUGCAGCUGGGAUAUCAGCAGGAUGCGUUGUAAGUCCUGUCUGGAAACGACUGGGAAUUUGUACUUUUAACUCAUGUAAUAAAUAAAUGAUCAAUUAUUUCUUUGCCCCGUUUACUCAUCCCUUGUCCUCGGUUACAAAAAUUUUUGUCCAUGCGCGUGAUGCCGCCCCGGGCAACCGCCUGUGUCGCCCGUAUCAAAAAACGCUACUGAAUGGAUUAAAGAUUGAAUCUACAGAGUUUCUAUUUUUUUUCUCACCGUCUCUCUCUCAAGGUCGACAACUGGUGCCUAAUCUGACAUCUUGGAGUAGGAUAGUUAACAGAGAAAGGAGCACGGUUGGUUUAUUGGACUAUGCAGAGACAGGCGCAGAGAUUACGUGCCAGCAGCGGAGGAACUUAUCACCAUAAAAUAUUGUUUGCUUCAAAAACAACGUGUUUGUUUGCUAGCAUCAGUUUUUCUUUUGGAUAACAAAGAUUAAAACCCAGUCCUCCUCUGACCCCACAUCGCCCAUUUUUUUAUUUUUUUUGUUUCCUGUUUUGGUUUGGUCCAGGUGUACGUGCUCUUAGCCAUCUGAUGACUUUAGGAUGGCUCCGUGAAAAGUGAAGUCAGGGUUUCAAAGAAGAGAAGCAACACCGGUGGAAACUAAACUUAUAGUUGGAGUAUUAGUUAGUCAAAUUUGUUUCUUCCCUUGGACCUUCGGAAUGUCAAUAUCCUCCCACACCCCACUAAUGUGAGCUAUCGUCCGAGUAAUCGUCAUCACUCAGGCAGCCACUAAACAUAGACUGUGUACUCAGACCACGUCUUUCCUUUGCACUGCUUCAAACACUUUGAACUUGUUAAAAUAAAUAUGUAACCGAGGACAAGGGAUGAGUAAACGGGGCAAAGAAAUAAUUGAUCAUUUAUUUAUUACAUGAGUUAAAAGUACAAAUUCCCAGUCGUUUCCAGACAGGACUUACAACGCAUCCUGCUGAUAUCCCAGCUGCACACGAGACUUGCCACACAAACUGUGCGAAAUAACACUGCAAACCCGUCACACCCCGCUUAGCGACACUGCAAUCGUGGCACACACUGCAAACAAUUCGGGUCUCAGCGCAGCUGGGAAUCAGUGCUAUGUAUGGCCUGUGAUCUGAGAGAUAAAGGGAAGUGGCACAAACAAUUAAAAUAAAUAAAAAAACAAAACAAAAGAGAGGUUAGUCCGCCCUUACAAAACUUACUCUCAAUCAAUAACCGCCUCUACGGCUGGACGGACUAACCAAAACAAAAUUACAAAUCAAUCAAAAGAACAACAAAGGACAGCAGAGACUGCACAGCUGAAAAACAAACAACAUUAUCAAUUAAAAUAUUACCCAAUAAAAUAGCAAUUUUAUAAAACCAUUCAAAAUCAUGAAGCUAAAACAAACACUCAAUAUACCUACAAUAUUGAUCAGUUUCCCUGCGCGCAGUCGAUCUAGGGCUUGAUCAAUUCUUCUAUUAAAAUUCGUGGUCACACUAAAAAAGUCCAAUGACACAUUAAAAAUAGGCACAUGCAAAAGCAAAAGAUCCAAACAAAAAUGGCAAAAGUCUCUUACCGACAGUAUACCCACUCGCACCUGAGUGAAUUAAUUGCCUCUGGUUUUUUUCCACAGAAGAGCGCUGACUUCACCCCACACACCCACUACCUUUUCACAGCUCUUCAGCCAAUCACCUGGCAGAGAGCAACAAACUGCCAGGUGACACUUGUUAC
ensembl:lncRNA